AUCUGGUGCUUAUGGCAUAGUGGUCACACCCGUUCCCAUCCCGAA
rnacentral:rRNA from 1 species